GAUAAAAAAGUCCCUGAUUGUUAACUCUGUUAGUCACUUUAGUCCAAAACAUUAAAUAUCAGUUAACUUUGGUGAUGUGUCUUAAAAUUCUGCUAUGUGGCAAGCUGACUAUAAUAUUAUAAUAAUUUGUUUAUUUUUUAUUUGUCUUUUAUUUUAACUAAUUUUAAUUUUAAAACAAAAAUAUAAGAAAAGACUUUAGAAUUCAUCACCAAAUUCAUAAUUUAAAAAACAAACUGAAAUAUUCACCUAGCGCUAGAAUCAAAUAGAAUCCAAAACAUUGCCAUUUCUCUCAAUCUCCAAAAUUAAAUUGAAGUGAAUAGACAAGAAGUAAAAAUAAAGUUUGAAUCUAGGAUUUCAUGGAGAUAUUGUUCAAUUGAAAAUAGAGAUAUUAUUAAAUUAGAUAUUUUUAUUCGAGUUUGAAUCUAGGAUUUCAUGGUAACAAUCAUGAAUACUUAGCUUAUUUUUCAAACACUAUUUCAAGUAGCUUAUAGCUUAUCAUUUUUUCUUUCAAUUUUACCAAUAUCAUCUUACUUGAAAAAAUCAGACUUAUUCACUAUAAACUAAAAACUAGCUUAUAAGCUAUCCCCUUCUCACUCACUAUAAGUUAGCUUAUUUUUAUCGAACAAAACCUUAGUUUAAAACAGUUCAAACAGCUUUUGGUGGUGGUAAUCUCAACUCUCAAAUUAUAAUUCACAAGGACACCGGAAAAAAAAAAGUUCCAAAACAUCCACUUACACUAUUCUAAAGUAAUAAUGACAGAGCUAUCAUUGUUGCCAUUGUUAUUAUUAUCAUCAUCACUCUCUGGUUUUCAUUUUUGAACAAGUUUAGGGUUUUGAUUUGUAGCAUUGUUGUGACUAUGAACAAACCAACAAAUUUGGCAACCACGGUGAGAAGUGGAGAAGCAUAAAAAGCUGGCAAGAAGAACAUUAUAUACUUCUCAUAUGAAGUUCAGAAGCACGUUUGAAAACACUUUAUCAUAAAAACAAAAAUUAGUCAUCGAUUUCUGAUGAUAAUUUUUUUUAUGAUAAAGCGGUCGCAAAGGCACUUCAUCAACUUUAUUGUACGCCAUAAAAAAAUGACAAACAGAAUCAGAUGAAUAAUUUAACCUCAGACAUCCAAGGAAGGAAAAAGCAGCAUUAGCUCUCAAGCCUGGCGAAAGGCGAAAGCUCUUAGGCGGCCACUGCGAAUGUUUUGAGAAACAAGCCUUAGAUUUAUCAUCAUUGGUCAUUUAAAUUAAAUAAAACAUAACAUACAACAUUUUUAUUGUUCGAUUUACAUAAGCAAAACCUAGGUUUCAAAAUCAUGAAUCAACUUUCCAAUAAAAUUUCAAAAUCACAGUUUCUUGCUUCAUUAGUAAAGCAGAAGCAACAAUAACAAUAUUUUUUCAAUCAGUUAAAAAUAAUUAUAGGAUCAACAUUAUGAAACUAUAUGGUUAUUACAUAAUCAACAUUGUCUCAGACAUCCAAGGAAGGAUAAAAACAGCACUAGCUCUCAAGCCUGGCGAAGGCGAAAGCUCUUGGGCGGCCACUGCGAAUGUUUUGAGAAACAAGCCUUCAAGAUAUCAUCAUAGACAACAAUUACAUUAACCAAAUUUAAUCAAAUUAAUCCAAAAAUUGACGCAACAAAAAUCUGCAUCAUAACCAAAACUAGUAGUACACAACCUAAUGAAAUCAAAAUCAAGAUCAAAGUAUUAGAAAAAAAAAUAGAAUUUUUCUUAAUUCAUAAGAUUUUGUAAAAACAAACUGCAUCAUGGUUGAAAAUUAGUAUAAAUUUGACCUCAUUGAGAAGAUUAGAUAGUCCACAAAGUAAAACUUCAGACAUAUGCUUGUCUAUUAUAAAUAUUUUAUUCAUUGGUCAAAACAUUCUACUCAAUCAGUCCCAAAAUAAAUGUCACAGUAUACAAACAAACAUCAUUAAACUACACUUACAAAAACAAAAAUCAUUAAACUCUUCAAAGGAAAAACAAACAUAAACUCAUUCAACUAAAAAUAAGAAAAUUUGUGAAUGGAACAAAGGACUCAGAAUAUGGGUGGUGAUAUAACAGGAUGGUCGGCAAGGUCAAAAAAGACCAAUUACGACGAACGAGACCUAUCACAGAAAUCAUCAAUGUCCAAAUCAUGUUUAAGAUAAUUCAAAAUUAAAUCAAAUUUAGAAUAACAAAAACACAAAUUAGAAGCUUAAACAACAAUAAACCCAGAAGCUCAAAAUAAAAUACGAGAGUAAAAAAGAAAACUUUGAAGAGGGAUUGAAAAACCCUAUAGAGGAAUUGAAGAAAAAACUAGGUUGAGAGGGUGAAUUUUGCGGCUAUGUGAUUU
rnacentral:lncRNA from 1 species